UACGGAGGGUGCAAGCGUUAUCCGGAUUUACUGGGUUUAAAGGGUGCGCAGGCGGAUAUGUAAGUCAGUGGUGAAAUCUCCGGGCUUAACCCGGAACUGCCGUUGAUACUAUAUAUCUUGAAUGCUGUGGAGGUAAGCAGAAUAUGUCAUGUAGCGGUGAAAUGCUUAGAGAUGACAUAGAAUACCUAUUGCGAAGGCAGCUUACUACGCAGAUAUUGACGCUCAUGCACGAAAGCGUGGGGAUCAAACAGG
rnacentral:rRNA from 1 species